rnacentral:miRNA from 1 species
GCGUCACUUGUGGUGUAGGCGA